GGGCAAAAUUUUACAUUGAUUGAAGAGGUGUCUUGCUGCAAUUUAUCUGGCCAUUGUGCUUUGUACAACGUUGCUCGUAGAGGCUUUUAAAAUAUGCAAAUCUGUAUAACAAUAUUCUACUUGGUAUAGGUCGAACAUGCCGGUCCAUGAUCCAGAAUAACAAAAUUAUGAAUCGUUUGACCAAAACAACAUUUAUUACCUAAGUUCACGUUAAGCACCACAUGCUG
rnacentral:lncRNA from 1 species